UCCAGGGGGGAACUUAUCACUUUCGCUUGGCCACGGAGACCGAAGUCCCCACAGCUAGUAUCCAUCGUUUUACGGCGUGGACUACCGGGGUAUCUAAUCCCGUUCGCUACCCACGCUUUCGUCCAUCAGCGUCAGUACAUGGUUGGUCACCUGCCUUCGCGAUCGGUGUUCUAUGUGAUAUCUAUGCAUUUCACCGCUACACCACAUGUUCCGGCGACCCCACCAUGACUCAAGACCUGCAGUAUCAAAGGCAAUUUUAUGGUUGAGCCACAAACUUUCACCCCUGACUUACAGGCCCGCCUACGGACCCUUUAAACCCAAUGAUUCCGGAUAACGCUCGGACCCUCCGUAUUACCGCGGCUGCUGGCACGGAGUUAGCCGGUCCUUAUUCUUACGGUACCGUCAGACACCUACACGUAGGUGCGUUUCUUCCCGUAUAAAAGCAGUUUACAACCCAUAGGGCCGUCAUCCUGCACGCGGCAUGGCUGGAUCAGGCUCCCGCCCAUUGUCCAAUAUUCCUCACUGCUGCCUCCCGUA
rnacentral:rRNA from 1 species